rnacentral:tRNA from 3 species
GCGGACGUAACUCAAUUGGCUAGAGUCUCUGCCUUCCAAGCAGAAUGUUGCGAGUUCGAGUCUCGUCGUCCGCUCCA